CAGCUUCGAGUGCUUGUACAGGAUCCACAGCAGCGGCUCCUGCAGCUCCUCCACGUGGCGCUUGUCCCUCAGGAGCGGGCGGUCUGCGGGAGAGCGGCGGGGAGAGCGCGUGCAGAAACAGUUGCAAAUCAUCUUUGCCUGAAGUAUGGGAGGUGAUACCCCCCUGGAUCCACCUGGAUCGCUCUGUCCAGUGCUGGGCUCCCCAGGACAAGGGACAUGGAGCUCCUGGAGCAGGUCCAGCAGAGAACGUGAAGGUGAUGAGGGGGCUGGAGCAGCUCUCAUUUAUUUUCAUGAGGUGACUCGAGUCUUGCAGCACAGGAGCCGUCACCUGUAAGGAACUACGCACUAGAGGAUAUGGUGAUGUGUGGUUUGUCAGGUGAGUUCAUGUUCAGUACCCACCAAAGGCCUCAGGGUUUCCAGUCUCCUCCUUUCUCGUGGCUCUGUGACAUACAGGCAUCAGAAUUUUUCAUCAAAGACCAUCAUGCUGGUUUUAUUUAAUUUUUUUCCCCAAACACUAAAGCACCUUUGAUCUGCUCACUGCUGUCCUGACAGGGCUCAGGAUAUUUAACUUCUCAGUACUUUCUUUUUUUUUUUCUUGUAAUGUCUUUGAACAAUAGUCCUCUUAGCUUAGGGAGAUGCUUCCCAAGCAUUGCUUGUUUCUGCACAUGAA